AAUCCAUGAUUUGGGCACUUCCUGAGCAUAGAUUUGAAUCUAACACAGGAUUCACAAAGACUUUCCCCAGCAAGUUGAACAAAUGUGGAUAUUUCUUUUUUGAGAUC
rfam:Lupinus angustifolius cultivar Tanjil contig_36844, whole genome shotgun sequence.